rnacentral:rRNA from 1 species
AUGAGACAAGUUGUUGCUGAUUAUUGGUGGGGUAGAGAAGAUAGUAAGAGGAAAGUUCACUGGCGUUCAUGGGAAUGGUUAUCCACACCAAAAAAGCUUGGUGGACUAGGUUUCCGUGAUUUUUCGCUCUUCAACCAAGCUAUGCUUGGUAGACAAUGUUGGAGGCUUCUUACUGAGCCAGAUUCUCUUUGUGCUCGGGUUUUCAAAGGACCCUAUUUUCCAUACUACGAUUUUUGGGAUGCGCCCAAGCCUAGGUCUUCAUCCUAUACUUGGAGAAGUAUUCACUAUGACCGAGAG